ACUGCCUUAGCUGUGUCCCAGAGACUCUGGAUGGACCCCACCCAAAAUUUGGUUCAAAUGUUGAGACUGCUGAUGCCACAAACAUGCCAAGAAGAUGUGAGACAGAAGAGGAAGGAAGUGAUGCUUAAGAGCUGUCAAUAAUCUUACUUCAAAAAAUGGAGUCAGACUACUGCAAUUCACCUCUAAUGUUUCACUGACAUAUGCCAUGUUUCAAUACAUUUAAUUGAAUUUGAACUUGUUUAUGUAAGUCAUU